GUGAGAUCACCUUUAAGCAUCAGGAAGAUGAAGGCGCUGGGUGACUUCAUCGUGAAUCACAGAGGGAAGCUACACUCUAACGGAAGACUUGGUCAUAAUCACCUAAGUCUUCCCAGCUCUGGGGAUAUCGGCAUCUUUGUUGGUUGUUGGAACACGCUCCCUAGUCUGAGAGAUAACUCCAGAACAUCAGGGAUUGGGUCAUGCAAACACGCAGCGGUGAGGAGUGCGCCUGCGCCUGGGUGCCCUCCAAGGCAUUGCUGUGUGUAUUCAGAAGCUACGCCUGUUUCUGGUACUGGUGCUGAUUCUGGAAAAUUCUAUCCAGCCAAAUAUGAAGCUAUACCUCACA
rnacentral:sRNA from 1 species